rnacentral:rRNA from 1 species
AUGAGGGGUCAUUCCGCUGAUGGCUUUACUUACGACCCGCGGUACGAGCCUUAUAUUCGGAGAUUGGGUCUUCUCCCAUUCGUGUUGCAGUUUAAGCGACGCGCUCCGCCGGUGAACCACGCGGCGUUGACCGCACUUGUGGAUCGUUGGAGGCCGGAGACUCACUCGUUCCACCUUCCAUGUGGGGAGCUGACGAUGACCCUAGAGGACAUGGCUAUGAUAAGCGGCCUUCCUAUCGACGGACAGGCUGUUACCAGUCGUGUCAGCGUCGUUAAUUGGCGAGAACGGACAGGCAUUUUAAUUGGUGUUCAGCCCGACGACCCUCAAGAAGGCAAGGCCGAUACCGCGAGAGUGAGGCAUUCUUGGCUAAAACUAGUCAGAGGAGACACCAAUCCGUGCCCUCAGGGUGCCAAUGAAGUGGUUGUGCAAUAG